GUACUUACCUGGCAGGGGAGAUAACAUGAUCAUGAAGGUGGUUUUCCAGGGUGAGCUUGUCCAUUGCACUCCGGAUGUGCUGACCCCUCCAAUUUCCCCAAAUGUGGGAAACUCAACUACAUAAUUUGUGGUAGUGGGAGACUGUGUUUGCACUCUCCCCUG
rnacentral:snRNA from 1 species